AGUAGUUCUUCUCCAUGGUUUUGACAGCUCCUGUUUAGAAUGGAGGUACACGUAUCCGUUGCUUGAGGAGGCUGGUUUUGAGACUUAGGCUGUGGACAUACUUGGUUGGGGUUUCUCUGAUUUAGAAAGGCUUCCACCAUGUAAUGUGGCAUCUAAGCGUGAACACUUUUAUCAGCUUUGGAAAUCACACAUCAAAAGGCCAAUUAUAUUGGUUGGAACAAGCCUUGGUG